CUCCAAGAUGACAGCAAAACCUAUUGUGGACCUGGAAUAUACAUUAGGAACAGUGAAUCUGCCCUUCCACAGAGAGUCAUGAAGACACCCAAAUCUGAAGAGUAAGUUCUGGGGGAGACUAAUGUUUUUUAUGUGCCAUUAAAUACAUGCAGGAAUGUCACCAGUUGACUCUCAAA
rnacentral:lncRNA from 12 species